rnacentral:sRNA from 1 species
GGCAGGAGCUGGCAAAGGAAAGGACAGGAGACGGCAAUGACUUGGAGCCCCUCGCCAGCACAUGGAUAUCGGAUAUCUACAGUACCAGAUCCAUCUGUCCCCUAGAUCUGCUGAGUCACGUGACCCUAGCUGCUCACUGCUUGUCCUCGGUCUGGAGCUGCUGUAGAACCCUCUCUGCCUGGGGCCAUCUCGAAGAGGCCAGCCCUCCAUGUCACCUGGUCCCACUGGGUCUGCAGAAGCCUAGAUUCCUCUCUCCGUCCUGAUGCACAGCCCACGUGCUGGCUGACAGUCGUGAUUUCUGCACUGCAUACAAAUCACAGGAAGACCAAGGCAUGUGGGAGCCGACUGUCCCUCUGAGAGCUGGAUGCACUCGGGUUCUCAGAUUUCUAUGACGCCCACACCAGGGAGCAGCAGCCAAGACAGCCAGGUACCAUGGAUACCUUAGAGCAGCUUCUCCAGUCUCAGCCCAGACUGAAAGCCCCUCGGUCAUCCAGCCCCUGGGAGGAUAAGCCUGUUCCCUCUUCAGUUCUUAGUGCCCAGCUGAGGCACUGCCUUCUCCAGGAAGCCCUCCUGGCCUCCCUGUUUCUCAAAGCUAAUCCUAAUAAAGUUAACUGGGGCUUGCUGUGUCCCAGUACUGUGUAAAGCA